rnacentral:lncRNA from 1 species
ACAACUCUCCACAAGAGACCAAAAUGACACAGAAAUUAACAACUAUAGGUCACCGUACGGCCUUCAACAAUGAGCAAAGCCCAUACCGCAUAGUCAGCUAUAAAUGGCCUCGAAAUGAAAAUGUAAAACAAUUCAAACGAGAAAACUAACGGCCUUAUUUAUGUACAAAAAAUGAACGAAAAACAAAUAUGUAACACAUAAACAAACAACAACC